rnacentral:misc_RNA from 1 species
ACAAGUGCGCAUGACAAGACGCCUGCGCGGCUCAACGGUCAGGAGGUCAGGGUCAAGGCAGUGCGUUUGAAAGCAAACUGUCACAAGCUCACCUACACUCCCAGCAGCAACAUGUGGUGCUGUGCAGCAGGCCUUGUGUACCUGCUCACUGUAGCUUCCCUUUGCCAUGGCGGCCCCAUUGCCGGAGAAGGCGGCCACCGCACCAAGCGAGAAGCUGGACAACCGACUCUGGCUGACAGACUCAACUGCUCACAGGGGGAUCGAGUCAACACCACCCAGCGACUGGCUGACAUGAGGGCAGCGAUGAGACAACUCGACAUCGACGCCUUCAUCAUCUUGUCUGAUGACGCCCACGGGAGCGAGUACCCGUCAGAAAGAGACGAGAGACGAGGCUUUAUAUCAGGUUUCACUGGAUCCGCAGGUCAAGCAGUAGUCACUCUCCACCAGGCGGCGCUCUGGACCGACGGCCGCUACUUCCUGGAGGCUGAGGGGGCGCUGGACUGCAACUGGAUCUUCAUGCGCUCAGGCGACGCCAAUGUUCCCUCCAUUUCCCAGUGGGUCAUCAGUGAGCUUGCGAACACCAGUGGUGUUGUAGGAGCAGACCCCUUUCUUGUCAGCAACAGUCAGUGGCAAUCAUUUGAAAAGGCGUUUGUUCAAGCCAACAUCACCUUUAAACAAGUGUUUAAAAACCCAGUGGACACAGCCUGGGGUGGGUAUCAGCCAGCGCCCCCUAUGAGCAACAUAACCGCCCUACCCAUGGAAUUCGCAGGAAAAACAUGGCAAGACAAAAUUACUGAGCUUCGUCAGAGCAUGACAGCGAAGAACGCGGAUGUGUUUGUUGUGACCAGCCUGGAUGAAACAGCAUGGCUUUUCAAUCUUCGGGGCGGCGACAUCAGCUACAACCCCGUCUUCCUGUCCUACGCCAUCGUUGAAAAAACUUCAGUAAGGCUAUAUCUGUUGAACAAAAAUGAAAGGUUGACUCAGAAUGCUACCGAUCCCGUGACAAGUAUAAAACUGAAAGAGCAUCUGAACACAGGGGACACUGGUUCUUGUACGGGGAGUUCUGCAUCUUGUGUGGAGGUUGUAGACUAUAACGAAACAGCCAUAGUGGAGGAUGUAAAAGCACUCGCCACGGCGGGCAAAAAGAUUUGGGUGACCUUCGUCUGCAACUAUGCCAUCUUCAGUGCUAUUCCCGAGGCCUCACGAAUACAGGACAGGUCCAGCAUCGCGCUGGCCAAAGCCAUGAAGAAUCAAGUGGAGCGGGAGGGGAUGGAGAGAUGCUAUAUUAGAGACUCUUUGAUCCUCAUUAAAUUCCUGGCAUUCCUAGAGAAAGAGAUAAAGAAUGGGCAUUACUGGACGGAGGUGUCUGCAGCGGAACGACUGAAAGAAAUGAGGCUGCAGGGUCAGUACAACCGGGGUCUGAGCUUCGAGAGUAUCUCGGGAUCCGGACCCAACGGGGCGGUCAUCCACUACAGACCCCUGAACGCAACUAACCGUCAGAUAACGACUACUGAGAUGUACCUGCUGGACUCGGGUGGCCAGUACCUGGAUGGAACUACUGACGUCACGAGGACCAUGCACUUCGGAACACCCUCGUCACACGAGAAGGAAUGUUACACCCGAGUUCUGAUGGGAGCAAUCGACCUGGCUAACCUGGUGUGGCCACAGGGGCUCUAUGGCCGGGAGAUCGACAUGGCAGCACGCGCACCCCUGUGGCAAGUUGGUCUGGAGUACAACCACGGCACCGGCCAUGGAAUAGGCGCCUAUCUUAGUGUUCAUGAAGGUCCAGGCCGCAUAUCCCUGACCCACAGCGCCAAUCCAAGCGAGGAAACUGUGCACGAGUACAUGUUUUUUUCUGAUGGUGAGCUCCCUUCACCCUCACUUCCCCGUCACUAACUUUCUCCUUUUCGCUGCAGGCCAGCAUCGUCAGCAGUCUGGAGUCAGGGUGGCAGUGACUAGUACAAACAGAACCAGGCUAUUACGAGAACGGAAAGUUUGGAAUUCGUCUCGAGACUAUUGUUAUGGUUGAACCCACCAGCAUCAAG